rnacentral:rRNA from 1 species
UACGUAGGGAGCAAGCGUUGUCCGGAAUCAUUGGGCGUAAAGCGCGCGUAGGUGGCCUCAUAAGUCCGCUGUGAAAGUCCAAGGCUCAACCUUGGAAAGCCGGUGGAUACUGUGAGGCUAGAGUACGGAAGAGGCGAGUGGAAUUCCAGGUGUAGCGGUGAAAUGCGUAGAUAUCUGGAGGAACACCGGUGGCGAAGGCGGCAUCCUGGACCAAUACUGACACUGAGGAGCGAAAGCCAGGGGAGCAAACGGG